rnacentral:rRNA from 1 species
GGGGGGCUAUCAUGCAAGUCGAACGCUUCUUUUUCCACCGGAGCUUGCUCCACCGGAAAAAGAGGAGUGGCGAACGGGUGAGUAACACGUGGGUAACCUGCCCAUCAGAAGGGGAUAACACUUGGAAACAGGUGCUAAUACCGUAUAACAAUCAAAACCGCAUGGUUUUGAUUUGAAAGGCGCUUUCGGGUGUCGCUGAUGGAUGGACCCGCGGUGCAUUAGCUAGUUGGUGAGGUAACGGCUCACCAAGGCCACGAUGCAUAGCCGACCUGAGAGGGUGAUCGGCCACAUUGGGACUGAGACACGGCCCAAACUCCUACGGGAGGCAGCAGUAGGGAAUCUUCGGCAAUGGACGAAAGUCUGACCGAGCAACGCCGCGUGAGUGAAGAAGGUUUUCGGAUCGUAAAACUCUGUUGUUAGAGAAGAACAAGGAUGAGAGUAACUGUUCAUCCCUUGACGGUAUCUAACCAGAAAGCCACGGCUAACUACGUGCCAGCAGCCGCGGUAAUACGUAGGUGGCAAGCGUUGUCCGGAUUUAUUGGGCGUAAAGCGAGCGCAGGCGGUUUCUUAAGUCUGAUGUGAAAGCCCCCGGCUCAACCGGGGAGGGUCAUUGAAACUGGGAGACUUGAGUGCAAAAAGAGGAGAGUGGAAUUCCAUGUGUAGCGGUGAAAAUGCGUAGAUAUAUGGAGAACCACCAUUGGCAAAGGCGGCUCUCUGGUCUGUAACUGACGCUGAGGCUCGAAAGCGUGGGGGAGAAAACAGGAUUAAAUCCCCUGGUACUCCCCCCCGUAAACAAUGAGUGCUAAGUGUUGGAGGGUUUCCGCCCCUUCCGUGCUGCCGGUAACCCAUUAAGCACUCCGCCUGGGGAGUACGACCGCAGGUUGAACCUCAAAGGAUUGACGGGGGCCCGCACCACCCGGUGGASCUGUGGAUUAAUUCCAAAGCUACCGCAAAAAACCUUAACAGGUCUUGGACC